rnacentral:rRNA from 1 species
UACGAAGGGGGCUAGCGUUGCUCGGAAUCACUGGGCGUAAAGCGCACGUAGGCGGAUUGUUAAGUCAGGGGUGAAAUCCUGGAGCUCAACUCCAGAACUGCCUUUGAUACUGGCAAUCUCGAGUUCGGGAGAGGUGAGUGGAACUGCGAGUGUAGAGGUGAAAUUCGUAGAUAUUCGCAAGAACACCAGUGGCGAAGGCGGCUCACUGGCCCGGAACUGACGCUGAGGUGCGAAAGCGUGGGGAGCAAACAGG